UGCCUACGGGGGGCAGCAGUGGGGAAUAUUGCACAAUGGGGGGAACCCUGAUGCAGCAAUGCCGCGUGAAGGAUGAAGGUUUUCGGAUUGUAAACUUCUUUUGUUAGAGAAGAUAAUGACGGUAUCUAACGAAUAAGCACCGGCUAACUCCGUGCCAGCAGCCGCGGUAAUACGGAGGGUGCAAGCGUUACUCGGAAUCACUGGGCGUAAAGAGCGCGUAGGCGGGAUAGCAAGUCAGAUGUGAAAUCCUAUGGCUUAACCAUAGAACUGCAUUUGAAACUGUUAUUCUAGAGUAUGGGAGAGGG
rnacentral:rRNA from 1 species